GUGAGAAUCAUCUAACACUCAUUAAAACUCUCAAUUCAACAACAAAGAAACAUGAACAGAUACAUAAUUAGUGACCACAAUUUCACGCAUAAUUGGAAAGAUACUAAUCGAGUAGCAGCAAAAAAACAAAACUCUAAUCGAGUCAAAUUGCUGAAAAUUAAGGUAAGGAAGAGGAUCACAAGCCCCAAAACCUAAUUUAAACAGUUAAAAUCGGUAUGAAUUAUGGACCCAAAGAGAAAUAGAUCCGUUGAAGACGAGCGAAUUUAGAAAACAUGUAGAUGCAAAUUAACUGAGUCUCACUCCAAAAAAAAAGGAUAAAUCUAAAGUAGGAGCAGAUUAUCAUCAUAAUUAGA
rnacentral:lncRNA from 1 species